CCAGCCCUACUCGAACUCAAUCUGGCACACAAUUGAUCAGGUGUAAAUGUCUAAUUAAGGUAGUAGAAUUUAGACAUUUUCAAAGUGGCAUUUCAAUAUUAUCUUUCGUUUCCUAUUCUUUUAUAAAAUUCCUCAAAUUGCAAGCAUCGAUCCAUUUUUUACAAAAAAAGUAAAGUAGGGGGGCCAUCUUUAACCAUAGAAUCCAUGAAACCAGAACAUACCAUGACACUAAAUUAGCUGGCCGAGGAUCGUAACGGCCAAUCUCAAUUUGCAAAGUCCUUUGGUGUUUUACUACCAAAGAUUGGUUAAACUCUUACUACUGAUAUGCUUUGAGGCGCGCUAAUAUACCAGCUGCAAAAUUGAUGAAACCACAUCGUGUUCAUCUACAUUCUACUACAGUGAAAGAAAAACAAAAAUCCCCCAAAAGAUAUCCUUUGAGCGCUAGAAAAGAAUGGUACAUUGCCUAUGCCUGACAAAGAACCUUGCAGCUGUCCGGCUCCGGCUCCGGCAGGUAGCUAGUAGUAAUAUCAAUAAUAUACCUGUAUGAGCUCCAUGAGGAAGUGGACGUCCUUGGAGUAGAGCUCCUGCGAGAGGUAGUUGACGGCCUGGUGCAUGUCCUCCGCCAGCGGAUUCCGCUCCUCACGCCCGAUGAAGUAGCGCUCCCACCGGAUCCUCUCCACGUGCUCCCGCGGCGACGCCGGCGGCGGCUUCGCCGAGGACGACGACAUGGUCGCCGGCUCGCCGCCGAACAAUGGCGAGAGCGCGCUCGCGUAGGAUCACUGCUAGCUGUUGGUGAUGAGUGACGAUCGAACUGGAUGGAAGAAGACGAAGAGAGAGAGAGGAGCCAGCGGAAAUGAAGACGCGCGCGUGCCGGCGGCCUGCAGCGUGCUUGGUUGGGAAGCGGAAGAGCCGAAGCAGUGUAGUGGGCGAGGACUUAUUGAGCUGCUGGCCUUGAAACUUGCAUUGGAAGGCCAAGAGGCCGCCGGAUCGGCGCCACGGCCAGGGCCGCUGCGCCUGCUGUGUUGCACGGUGGGCAAACGAUGAUACAGCAGCCAGUGACUGCGAGCAGGAUAGUCGCGCGGGACCACUUGUCAUGGGACUAUGGAAGUGUGUUGCGUGCAGAUUCCACAUUUCCACUGGGUGGAAGUGGCACACAUAUACCAAUCCUUUUUUUUCCUCUAAGAACGUAGCAAACAUAUAGGAGUACUAGUUUGGUAGAACCAAACAUAUAGUACACAAAAGUUUUUUUUUAUUAGUAACUGGAAUUAUAUUAAUAACAGCAAAACGCUGUAGAGAUGAGUACAUCUGGAACAGAAAGCUCCUGAAGAACACUCAGAACAGAGCACUGCUGAUUAUGAGCAGUGGAUGAGCAACUCCUCCGAGGGAGGGCUGCUGAGAGGCUAUUUGCCUGAGAGGCUAGACUAUGUGCCGUCAAAUUUGAGGAUCUGUGAAUCUUGCGAAUGGAGAUGUCUCAUGCAUCUGCAAAAUUCUUGUAGACUUGAGAGAAAGGCUUCAUCCUCCAGCCCGGGGGGUGGGCGACAGAUUCCUGAUUUAGGAAUAGCACCAGCUGCUGGCAAUCUGAAAGAAUAUAAGAAUUUUGUGCUUGGAGGAGAUGCAAGAGUUGAGCUGCUAGAGCAGCAGCCGUUGCUUCCGCCAUGAGGACAGAAGAGACUUGUUCGACACGCGCCUUAACAAGAAUUUUGAUCGGAGGCUGCACCUGCACAUCAAUAAAAGAGAUUCCAAUACCUGCAGGUCGAAUGAAGGUUUGAUUCUGAUCCGGCAGCGUGGAUGCAUCAACAUAACAUCUGGGCCCUGUUAAAGAUGCUGGGAUAGACACAGUAAGAUUUGAAAUACAGGGAUUAUAGAUUGCCAUACCAAUGGGUUGUGUGGGGUUUUGCAGCUCCUGUUGUUCUUUCUGUAGAGUUGGUGUAGCAGCCUUUGUGUAUGCUUUGACAGCAUUGUGCACCUGGUUUGGGAUCCAUGUCUUCCUCUGGAAACGAUUAUCAUUUCUUGCUUUCCACAAGAACCACAAGGUAAUAAAAAUUUUGCUUAAAAGAUCAUGAGGAGUAGUAUCAUCAAUAAAGGAGGUUAAGAUUUCUUGUACUCCAUCGUCUUCAAUAGGAAGAUUAUCUGUUAUCAGAGCAGGGCUAGAGGAAAACCAAACAGCUUUAGCCAAGGCCCUUCUGAUCAGUCUCCAGGCGAAGGUUUUGAUGAGAGGUGGCAUCUUGGGUGCCUUCCAGACCUUGUGGAGGAUUGAUUUAGCUUGAGGUGAAAUGCUCCUAGAUCCUGCAUCUGGCAGCUGAAUGAUAUUUUGAUUAUACAGGUACUUGUAUAUUUCUUUAGUAGUGCAAACUCUAUUUUUAGCUGGUUUCCAUCUUAAAAUGUCAUCCUCUGGAUUAUUGUGUUUAGUUGGAACAAUUCUUAUCUGAGAUAUUUCAUUAGUUAACUGAUUAUCAAAAACUGAUUGAAUGUAA